rnacentral:rRNA from 1 species
ACGCUGGCGGGCAGGCCUAACACAUGCAAGUCGAACGGUAACAGGAAGCAGCUUGCUGCUUUGCUGACGAGUGGCGGACGGGUGAGUAAUGUCUGGGAAACUGCCUGAUGGAGGGGGAUAACUACUGGAAGCGGUAGCUAAUACCGCAUAACGUCGCAAGACCAAAGAGGGGGACCUUCGGGCCUCUUGCCAUCGGAUGUGCCCAGAUGGGAUUAGCUAGUAGGUGGGGUAACGGCUCACCUAGGCGACGAUCCCUAGCUGGUCUGAGAGGAUGACCAGCCACACUGGAACUGAGACACGGUCCAGACUCCUACGGGAGGCAGCAGUGGGGAAUAUUGCACAAUGGGCGCAAGCCUGAUGCAGCCAUGCCGCGUGUAUGAAGAAGGCCUUCGGGUUGUAAAGUACUUUUCAGCGGGGAGGAAGGCGAUAAGGUUAAUAACCUUGUCGAUUGACGUUACCCGCAGAAGAAGCACCGCUACCA